CAUCCUCACUUGAGUUAUUUUCAAUGGAACUAAAAACUAAAUUCUUUUCAAAAUUUUCAGUAGAGGAUUUAUCUAAUUUAUCUACUCUCUCAUUCUCCUCAUCAUUUCUAACAUUAUUAGCCCUCGUGUAAGCUUCACCCUUAUCUUCCCUCUCAUUUCUAAUAAAAUCAACCAUUAUAUAAGCUCUACCAUCAUGAUUAGCCUCUAUAUGAGCUCCACCUUCAUCUUCAACACCAUAUUCUUUCUCAGCUACACCUUCAUCUCCAACAGCAUCCUCUAUCUCAGCUACACCUUCAUCUCGAACAUCAUCUUCUUCCUCGGUUACAUCCUCAAUUCUAACAUCAUCUUCUUCCUCGGUUACAUCCUCAAUUCUAACAUCAUCUUUACUCUCAAUUUCACCAUCAACUCCAAUAUCAAGUUUUUCCUUCUUCCCACCAUCAACACUAUUAUCACUAUCAUUAGUACCACCACCAGUAGGAUCA
rnacentral:lncRNA from 1 species